UACGUAGGUGACAAGCGUUGUCCGGAUUUACUGGGCGUAAAGGGCGCGUAGGCGGCUUGGCAAGUGGAUGGUGAAAUCCCUCGGCUUAACCGAGGAACUGCCGUCCAAACUGCUUCGCUUGAGACCGGGAGAGGUGAGUGGAAUUCCCAGUGUAGCGGUGAAAUGCGUAGAUAUUGGGAGGAACACCAGUGGCGAAGGCGGCUCACUGGACCGGUACUGACGCUGAUGCGCGAAAGCGUGGGGAGCAAACGGG
rnacentral:rRNA from 1 species